rnacentral:rRNA from 1 species
UACGUAGGGUGCGAGCGUUAAUCGGAAUUACUGGGCGUAAAGCGUGCGCAGGCGGUUCGUUGUGUCGGCGGUGAAAGCCCCGGGCUCAACCUGGGGAAUGGCCGUUGAAACUGGCGAACUGGAGUGUGGCAGAGGGGGGUGGAAUCCGCGUGUAGCAGUGAAAUGCGUAGAGAUGCGGAGGAACACCGAUGGCGAAGGCAGCUCGCUGGGACGGUACUGACGCGAGACGCGAAAGCGUGGG